rnacentral:hammerhead_ribozyme from 1 species
AUCCAACUGACGAGUCCCAAAUUGGACGAAAUGCGCGUCCUGGAU